UGAAUCGAACGUUAGGCGGCGUGGAUUAGGCAUGCAAGUCGAGCGAGAACCCCGCAAGGGGGGACAGCGGCAAACGGGGUAGUAAUGUGUCGGAACGUGCCCUCUGGACGGGGAUAGCGGCGGGAAACUGCCGGUAAUACCCGAUGAACUCGAGAGAGCAAAGGUGUGAUUCCGCCGGAGGAGCGGCCGACAUGGUAUUAGCUAGUUGGCGGGGUAACGGCCCACCAAGGCUGUGAUGCCUAGGGAAUGUGAGAGCAUGAUCCCCACCAUUGGGACUGAGACACUGCCCAGACACCUACGGGUGGCUGCAGUCGAGAAUCUUCGUCAAUGGGCGAAAGCCUGAACGAGCGACGCCGCGUGCGGGAUGAAGGCCCUUGGGUGGGAAACCGCUGUCGCCCCCGGAUGAAGGCUGGAAGGUACUCCUUCCA
rnacentral:rRNA from 1 species